UGGGGAAUAUUGGACAAUGGGGGCAACCCUGAUCCAGCAAUGCCGCGUGGAUGAUGAAGGCCUUAGGGUUGUAAAAUCCUUUCGUUGGGGACGAUAAUGACGGUACCCAAAGAAGAAGCUCCGGCUAACUUCGUGCCAGCAGCCGCGGUAAUACGAAGGGGGCUAGCGUUGUUCGGAUUUACUGGGCGUAAAGCGCGUGUAGGCGGAUUUGUAAGUUGGGGGUGAAAUCCCGAGGCUCAACCUCGGAACUGCCUCCAAAACUACAAGUCUGGACCUAAGUAGAGGCAAGUGGAAUUGCGAGUGUAGAGGUGAAAUUCGUAGAUAUUCGCAGGAACACCAGUGGCGAAGGCGACUUGCUGGACUUAUGGUGACGCUGAGACGCGAAAGCGUGGGGAGCAAACAGGAUUAGAUACCCUAGUAGUCCCUGAGCGGGCUGGCAAGGCGCAU
rnacentral:rRNA from 1 species